GAUCUGGCUCAGGACGAACGCUGGCGGCGCGCCUAACACAUGCAAGUCGAACGAGCGAGAGGAGGUUUACUUUCUCAAGCGAGUGGCGAACGGGUGAGUAACGCGUGAGGAACCUGCCUCAAAGAGGGGGACAACAGUUGGAAACGACUGCUAAUACCGCAUAAGCCCACGACCCGGCAUCGGGUAGAGGGAAAAGGAGCAAUCCGCUUUGAGAUGGCCUCGCGUCCGAUUAGCUAGUUGGUGAGGUAAUGG
rnacentral:rRNA from 1 species